UACGUAGGGUGCGAGCGUUGUCCGGAAUUAUUGGGCGUAAAGAGCUUGUAGGCGGUCUGUCGCGUCUGCUGUGAAAAUCCGGGGCUCAACCCCGGACUUGCAGUGGGUACGGGCAGACUAGAGUGUGGUAGGGGAGACUGGAAUUCCUGGUGUAGCGGUGAAAUGCGCAGAUAUCAGGAGGAACACCGAUGGCGAAGGCAGGUCUCUGGGCCACCACUGACGCUGAGAAGCGAAAGCAUGGGGAGCGAACAGG
rnacentral:rRNA from 1 species